GCAAUGAUGACAAUUUCUGGUUUUGAUCAGCAGUGAAAAUAAACUACCAAUCCUCUAAGAAGUUCUGAGCUC